rnacentral:rRNA from 1 species
UACGUAGGGUGCGAGCGUUGUCCGGAAUUACUGGGCGUAAAGGGCUCGUAGGCGGCCAACUAAGUCAGACGUGAAAUCCCUCGGCUUAACCGGGGAACGGCGUCUGAUACUGGAUGGCUUGAAUCCGGGAGAGGGAUGCGGAAUUCCAGGUGUAGCGGUGAAAUGCGUAGAUAUCUGGAGGAACACCGGUGGCGAAGGCGGCAUCCUGGACCGGCAUUGACGCUGAGGAGCGAAAGCCAGGGGAGCAAACGGG